rnacentral:lncRNA from 1 species
ACUGAGAGCUGGCAGUGAGGGGCCAGCUCAGAACCCAGAAGCCCUUUUCAGGGGAUCGAGCAUCUGGGCCGCAGAGGCCCUCGGAGAUCCUGCUGCCCAGCUACAGCUCACCUGCAGCGCCUGCAAUGCCGUCGGGGCUGAACAGGCCAGUGCUGUAGCUGCCUCCCCGCCAAGGCCUCUGCCUGCUGCACCUGCUGCCCUGACCUGUGUGCUCCCUAUUGUAGCUGAGCCCAGGACUGGGGCAAAGAGGCUAGGAAAACCUUGCCAGGUGAGCAGUUUUUGGAGCUGGCACAGUGCUCAAAAUAAAAUGAAACAAAACCUGGACUGGAACUCAGGAGUCGUGGGCCUGUCGCAGACCUGCUGGUGAUCUUGAGUAAGCCCCUUGCCCACUCUGGGUGCCGAAUGGAUGAGCCUGGAUGCCCUCUCAAGAUCAAAGGGAACGAUGAGGCCUGUCUGAUCUCCCAGCUUCAGAGGCAAAGUCCUGUGACCCAUUGAAAGUAAUUUUAUCUCCCAGCUCCUGAGCGCAGGUGCUGAGUGGGAUUCAGUGAAGGGCUG